GACAGAGGUGCCGAGCGUUAGGCGGAAUCACUGGGCUUAAAGCGUGUGUAGGCGGCCCGUUAAGUGUCCCGUGAAAUCCCCCGGCUCAACCGGGGAACCGCGGGGCAUACUGGCGGGCUUGGGCCACUCAGGGGCAGACGGAACAGGCGGUGGAGCGGUGAAAUGCGUAGAUAUCGGAAGGAACACCGGUGGCGAAAGCGGCGCGCUGGACCUCUUCUGACGCUGAGGCGCGAAAGCCAGGGGAGCAAACGGG
rnacentral:rRNA from 1 species